AUAAUUUGUUAUUAAUUUGAUUUAUAUGUAAAUUUUUGUAAGAAUUUAUAUUAAUUUUAAAAAUUAAUAUAUUUAUUAUAAUCGCAGUAAUUAAUUUUAUUAAUUAAAGAAAUUUAGAAAUAGCAAUAUUAAAAAGUAUAGAUUAAAUUGGUGCCAGCAAUCGCGGUUAUACUAAUUAUACAAAUAAAUUUUUUUAGUAAAAGUUAAAUUAAUUCUAAAAUUAAAUAAAAUUAAAUUUAUUAAGUGAAAUUUUAAAUUUAAAUUUUUUAUAAAUAUAGAAUAAUUGAAGCUUAAAAAUUUUAAUUAA
rnacentral:rRNA from 1 species